rnacentral:pre_miRNA from 1 species
UUCCGUCUCGCCCAUCCCUUUGCUCCAUAUCGAUUCAUGAUUAUUGAGCAAUGCGCAUGUGCGGGACGGAU